UCCACACACUUUCAUUCAUAAGAUAUUUUUGAGAGAAUAGAGAGAGAAAGUGGGAGCAAGAGGAGAAAAGGGUAGAGAGAAGAGGACUUGAAGAAUCAAGGGUUGGGAGAAGAGCUAGGAGCGAAAUUGAAGCCUAAGCUAGAGAGAUUAACCUAACUAAGGUAAGGGGGUUAGAAUUCAUCAUAAUCACUUAUUGCAAUUUUAAAUUAUUUGUAUGAAAAAUGCUUAAUUGGGUGAAUUGAUUAAUUGUUCAUAAAUGAUGAAAUUCGUGCUCUAAUUAUGAUGACAUGUUUAGAUGUAUGAAGUUAUGGAUAAUUGAAUUGUUGUUGGUUGAAUUACAUGUUCAAAGUAUGAAAAAUGGGUAUGUGUUGAAAUAGGUGCACAUCAUGACAUGAGUCUUAUGUUGAGAAUUGUGAUUGGUGAAUGGUGUUUGUGUAUGAAUAACUAUGAAUUGAUAUUUGUUCAUGACACAUGUGAUUAAUGAAUUAUUGAUGUGAAAUAUUGGGAUUAUGAUAUAAGUAUAUACAUGUGUGAAUAUUAUUGAUCAAGUACAUGAUGUUUGAAUUGAAUUAUUCAUGUUAACUAUUAUUUGGAUUAUGAUGAUGUAAUACUUACCCCUAGUGGUUUUGACCGCCUACCUGUCUGUAUGGAUGGGUAGACGUUGUACAGGAUUAAUUGCUCGGUGAGUUUUUGUGCUUGGUGGAUAUCGGGAGCUUUCUCCGAUAUCGGUGUUUAGAGUCUAGGUGGCUCUGAUCUAGGCGUUGUCAUAGUCUAGAAUGUUUAUUUGGAUUAUUAUUCAUGAUUGGAGAUGUACCCGUAUGUUGGGAAUUUUGAGAUUCAUCUAUGUUGAUGUAAUAAUUGGUUUAUGACAUGUAUAUUUGGAAUACUCUGGUUUAUAUUCCGCUGCGACUGUUGAAGUUUAUAUACAUGUUUAUUGGUUUUGAAUUUUGCAUGAUGAUGUAUCCUCUAUUUCUUGAAUAAAUGUGUUAUUCGCAUGUUUAAUUGCUUAAAUAGAAAUAAGAGUUUACACUAUCCCCU
rnacentral:lncRNA from 1 species